GCCUGGGUGGCUCAGUCGGUUGAGCGUCUGACUUCAGCUCAGGUCAUGAUCUCGAGGUCCAUGAGUUUGAGUCCCGCAUCAGGCU
rnacentral:tRNA from 1 species